rnacentral:rRNA from 1 species
AGCGAACGCUGGCGGCAGGCCUAACACAUGCAAGUCGAACGAACUCUUCGGAGUUAGUGGCGGACGGGUGAGUAACACGUGGGAACGUUCCUUUUGGUUCGGAAUAACUCAGGGAAACUUGUGCUAAUACCGAAUGUGCCCUUCGGGGGAAAGAUUUAUCGCCAUUAGAGCUGCCCGCGUCUGAUUAGCUAGUUGGUGAGGUAACGGCUCACCAAGGCGACGAUCAGUAGCUGGUCUGAGAGGAUGACCAGCCACACUGGGACUGAGACACGGCCCAGACUCCUACGGGAGGCAGCAGUGGGGAAUCUUGCGCAAUGGGCGAAAGCAUGACGCAGCCAUGCCGCGUGAAUGAUGAAGGUCUUAGGAUUGUAAAAUUCUUUCACCGGGGACGAUAAUGACGGUACCCGGAGAAGAAGCCCCGGCUAACUUCGUG